rnacentral:rRNA from 1 species
GAUCCUGGCUCAGGAUGAACGCUAGCUACAGGCUUAACACAUGCAAGUCGAGGGGAAACGACAUCGAAAGCUUGCUUUUGAUGGGCGUCGACCGGCGCACGGGUGAGUAACGCGUACCCAACCUGCCCCUCACUUGGGAAUAACCUUGCGAAAGUAAGACUAAUGCCCAAUGAUAUCCCACGAAGGCAUCCGAAUGGGAUUAAAGAUUUAUCGGUGAUGGAUGGGGAUGCGUCUGAUUAG